AGUGAACGCUGGCGGCGUGCCUAACACAUGCAAGUCGAGCGGGGUUACUGCCGUAGCAAUACGGUGUGUGCCCAGCGGCAGACGGGUGAGUAACACGUAGACAAUCUACCUCUUAAAGGGGGAUAGCCCAUCGAAAGGUGGGGUAAUACCCCGUAAGAUCAAAAUUCGGCAUCGAGUUUUGAUGAAACGUCCGCAAGGACGGUUGAGAGAAGAGUCUGCGGCCUAUCAGCUAGUUGGCGGGGUAACAGCCCACCAAGGCGACGACGGGUAUCCGACCUGAAAGGGCGAUCGGACACACUGACACUGAGACACGGGUCAGACUCCUACGGGAGGCAGCAGUGAGGAAUUUUGGACAAUGGGGGAAACCCUGAUCCAGCGACGCCGCGUGGAGGACGAAGGUCUUCGGAUUGUAAACUCCUUUUGUCCGGGAAUAACAGAUCUGUAGAAAUACAGGAAUUGAAUGUACCGGAUGAAUAAGCCACGGCUAACUUCGUGCCAGCAGCCGCGGUUAAAGUACAGU
rnacentral:rRNA from 1 species